AACAUCACAGUGACAAGUGUCACCACCACCUCCAUUGCUCUGAGUCGGACCACAGACAGUAAGAACUGUGCAGUUGUCCUUCCUGAACUUCAGAAGCUUUCUUAUGAGUGCAGCUGUAAAUCUACUCAAUCAUAUGAGAAAACUGUCGCUGACAAAAAUCAAUUCGGAGGAACAUGUCAAAUGUAUGGACUGAAACCAUACACCGAGUAGAACUGUGCAGUCCAACCCAUAUACAACAAAAACUAUGUUCCUGCACCAACUCAUGUAAAACAGAGGACAACGAUUGGAGGUGACUGCUUCCAAUGGACAAAACGAGCAUCUGUCACCACUUCCUGUUUGUGGUGUUUUAAUUCAUGCCAACAAUUGUUAAUUAACUAAGUCAUUUUGACACUUGUAGACUCUCUCUUUUCAUUCAUUGUAUUUAACUCUUAUGUCACAGACAAUGACAAAGCUGUCAUAGUUAGUCUGGUCUUCUUCAUCAUGGCAUCUGUGGCCUUCGCCGUGGUGCUCUAUAAGAUCUACACUCUGAGGCUCAGAAAGUCCAGGAAGUAAAUACUUACUUAGUUCUUACCCCGACUCUAUCAGUUUGACUUUUACAUUCUCUCUGGUUUGUUUUACAGUUGUUUAAGUUUGAUAUUAUUACUAUUAUUUACAGUAAAGAAUGAGAUGACAUUUUUAAAUGAUAUUUAUUAAGUUUUAUCUCGUCUUUUUUAGGCAGAGGUAACACAUUACAUAUAUAAAAGCUAACUGUUUAAUACAUUAUUGAAUAUUAUAAUAUGUUAUAUUCUAUAUAAAUGUUUUUACAUAAAGCUAAUCUGAGCUUUUUUCUUCACACCGAUGCAGAUGUGGAGGAAAAUGCUGUGAUUGAACUAACAGAAAUUUAUGCUAAUGUGCCUCAAUCUGAAUGCCGCCGUAGAGACUCAACCUGAUGAAGGCCUGAUGGAGCUGCCAACCAAAUCAUCAUUUACUCAUGUGACGUAGCUGUAUACAGCCUAUAGAAAUACUUGUAAUCUGCUUACACUGGCAAUGGUGUUUUUAUGUUUUAGUCGUUUUGGGUUGUUAUGCUUUAAUGUGUGCAUUGUAACAAGUGGAACAUUUAAGUUUUGUAUUCAAAUGCUCUUAUAUGAUUAUAACCGGUUUUAUUGUUCUGUUGAGAUUACAUCACAUUGUCCUUUUAUAUUUACAUCCUUGCCAGACGACACCACCUAAAGAGAGGGAAAUGAAUAGCAAGUUGUUAAGUCUUGCAGAUGCAGACAGGUUGAUAUGUACAGCAGCUAAAGGUAUUGGUGGUGUGUUAACUCUUUUGUUACAGCUGCCGUUUUUCACAUGUGUGUAUAUGAUGUAUUACCUCUCAUUUGUAUGACCAAUAAUUACUGAAAAAGCAAAAAAAUCAAAUAGUAGUGCGCUUGUAACCAUAAAACAUCACAUUUAAUGUUUUCUUUUUCUUUAAGAAGUUAUUACUAUUUAAGAAUCAAUAAUUAAACCAAUAUACACUUUUGGUAUUGGUAACAGUAAGGAAAUGAUUAUAACAUUCCAACCAAAUUGGCCCUAAUCUGAAAAGAUGCCAAGCUAAUUCCAUGUAGCCAUUGGUAUCCAAUAGUCCAUUGUGCUAUGAGUGGUGGUGUAUUUAGGCCAUUUUUUUGUUACAACAUGACAGGAAAUACCACAUCACACAUUUACUUGAGGAGUUCAGACAAAACCUACAAUCAUACAUUUUUAUGUUGUGUUAAAAAAAGAAAAUGAAGUUAUAUAAAUAAUAUACUUACCAUUAAGCUGGUUUCACUUGCCAGUUGUCGAUCAGAGGAAAACGCCCUCUUGCUGUAAAUUCAGGAAUCAUGAUACAUGUCCCCCUUUCAAAGUUCAGUCCUUUAAUAAAUGACUAAUCUGGUGCAGGUCUUCAGGUGUGAAACAGUAA